UUCUUCCCCCCACCAGCCUUCCCUUCCCGAAUCUUCUUCCCCCACUUCUGACUCUCUCUCUCACUCUCUCACACACACCUCUAUCUUUUUUAAUCUAUUUUUCUUCAGAAACCAGAGGUCUCUCUCUCUGUCCUCACGAUUCUUCAACCAUGUCUCUCAAAUCUCCUCUCUACAGACGUUUCCCGUGUUUGGUCUCAAAGAAAAUGAAGAAAACUGCAACCUAGAUCAGCCAACGAAGAACACGGUUGUUCUUCAUGAGAAAGAUCGUGUAUAUGUUAACAAUCUGCACCUUGUGAUGUAAUCUGGGCUAAGGGAAAUACAAAUGAACGAUGGAAGCAGUAACAGCAGUGCACAGAGGGUGUUCUUGUCUCUGGCUUUGUUCUUGUUUGGCUUUCUUGUAUAUGGAUAUAGUGUUUUAGUGAUUUUGUAUAAAUUUUGAAAUCUUAGAAAUCUUCCUCCUCAAAUCGGAGGGGUUGAUUUUUUUUCUUUUUUAAAUCUGGGUGUAAUGUUCUCUAAUGAAGAAUUUUUGAAGUGUGAAUUGAGACAGAGAAGUCGGAAGGGAGAGGCAGAGAGCCGACGAUGAGAGAGAGGAUUUGGGUUGUGUGCGGUAUAAAAGGAAACAGAAUGUAAUUUUGGAAUACAAGUGAGGGCAAAAUUGGAAAUGAAAAUGUUAGACGAAAAUACUGUUUAUCCAACCUUUGUCAUAAACCGGCGGAUGGAUUCGGGACAAGGAGCGAAGAACCCUAGAGCUAAGAACUAAGGAACGUCGAACUGGAAGUAAGAAACAAAGGCUGAAGUGAUUAAGUGUUGAAGUUUAACUCGGAACGACGACGUAAAGAGGUGAAAGUGAAACGGUGCGUAGUGCGAUCCUGAAGACUAAGUCGGUGGCGUGCGUUGGAAGAGAAAUCGUGAAGUGUGCGUGCGUUUCAAGUGGAAUGGGGGGCAGUGUGCGUGCGUUUCGAAUUAAUCAGGGGGUGAGUGCGUUUUAUGUUUUAGUUGCUGCGUUUAAUAAAUGUUAAACGCACCGUUUAAGUUAGUAACUUCAAACGGUGCGUUGGAGUCAAGGUUGAGGUUAAAACCUGUGUCUGUCAUUUGCAAUUUCAUAGUCAGUAAGGUUAGUUUAUCAAUUGGGAGAGUUAGUUACAAGUGAGAGAAAUUGUAAGCAUAAAGGGAAAAGUGAGUGGAGAGGAAUGGUAUUGAAGAAUCUGAUUGUAAGAAUUACAUUGUAAGGAGGUUGGGAGCCCUCAAAGUACUCCCGUAGCAAUUCAAAUCUCUCAUGGUAUUUUCAUCAAACACCUUCCGUGCAGUCUGUUAUUUACUACAGCUUUCACUUUCUACAUUCCAUCUUCAUCCAUUACAAGCAUCCAUCGACGUGGGUACUUAACAAGUGGUACAGCAGCCAACCGAUCCUACGCAGCUUCAUCCAAAAACCCAGAAAAUUCAUCCAAAAACCCAGAAAA